UACGGAGGGGGCUAGCGUUGUCCGGAAUUACUGGGCGUAAAGGGCCAGUAGGCGGCCAACUAAGUCCGACGUGAAAUCCCAAAGCUUAACUUUGGACCUGCGUCGGAUACUGGAUGGCUUGAAUUCGGGAGAGGGAUGCAGAAUUCCAGGUGUAGCGGUGAAAUGCGUAGAUAUCUGGAGGAAUACCGGUGGCGAAGGCGGCAUCCUGGACCGACAUUGACGCUGAACGGCGAAAGCUAGGGGAGCAAACGGG
rnacentral:rRNA from 1 species